GAUGAACGCUGGCGGCGUGCCUAAUACAUGCAAGUCGAGCGAACAGACGAGGAGCUUGCUCCUCCGACGUUAGCGGCGGACGGGUGAGUAACACGUGGAUAACCUACCUAUAAGACUGGGAUAACUUCGGGAAACCGGAGCUAAUACCGGAUAAUAUAUUGAACCGCAUGGUUCAAUAGUGAAAGACGGUUUUGCUGUCACUUAUAGAUGGAUCCGCGCCGCAUUAGCUAGUUGGUAAGGUAACGGCUUACCAAGGCGACGAUGCGUAGCCGACCUGAGAGGGGGAUCGGCCACACUGGAACUGAGACACGGUCCAGACUCCUACGGGAGGCAGCAGUAGGGAAUCUUCCGCAAUGGGCGAAAGCCUGACGGAGCAACGCCGCGUGAGUGAUGAAGGUCUUCGGAUCGUAAAACUCUGUUAUUAGGGAAGAACAAAUGUGUAAGUAACUAUGCACGUCUUGACGGUACCUAAUCAGAAAGCCACGGCUAACUACGUG
rnacentral:rRNA from 1 species